rnacentral:tRNA from 1 species
GUCCCCUUCGUCUAGAGGCCUAGGACACCGCCCUUUCACGGCGGUACCAGGGGUUCGAAUCCCCUAGGGGACGCCA